rnacentral:rRNA from 1 species
GACGAACGCUGGCGGCGUGCCUAAUACAUGCAAGUAGAACGCUGAAGGAGGAGCUUGCUUCUCCGGAUGAGUUGCGAACGGGUGAGUAACGCGUAGGUAACCUGCCUGGUAGCGGGGGAUAACUAUUGGAAACGAUAGCUAAUACCGCAUAACAGUAGAUAUCGCAUGAUAUCUGCUUGAAAGGUGCAAUUGCAUCACUACCAGAUGGACCUGCGUUGUAUUAGCUAGUUGGUGAGGUAACGGCUCACCAAGGCGACGAUACAUAGCCGACCUGAGAGGGUGAUCGGCCACACUGGGACUGAGACACGGCCCAGACUCCUACGGGAGGCAGCAGUAGGGAAUCUUCGGCAAUGGACGGAAGUCUGACCGAGCAACGCCGCGUGAGUGAAGAAGGUUGUCGGAUCGUAAAGCUCUGUUGUAAGAGAAGAACGAGUGUGAGAGUGGAAAGUUCACACUGUGACGGUAUCUUACCAGAAAGGGACGGCUAACUACGUG